GACGAACGCUGGCGGCGUGCCUAAUACAUGCAAGUCGAGCGAAUCAAUGGGAGCUUGCUCCCUGAGAUUAGCGGCGGACGGGUGAGUAACACGUGGGUAACCUGCCUGUAAGACUGGGAUGACUUCGGGAAACCGGAGCUAAUACCGGAUACGUUCUUUUCUCGCAUGAGGAGAGAUGGAAAGAUGGUUCUGCUAUCACUUACAGAUGGACCCGCGGCGCAUUAGCUAGUUGGUGAGGUAACGGCUCACCAAGGCGACGAUGCGUAGCCGACCUGAGAGGGUGAUCGGCCACACUGGGACUGAGACACGGCCCAGACUCCUACGGGAGGCAGCAGUAGGGAAUCUUCCGCAAUGGACGAAAGUCUGGCGGAGCAACGCCGCGUGAGCGAAGAAGGCCUUCGGGUCGUAAAGCUCUGUUGUUAGGGAAGAACAAGUACGAGAGUAACUGCUCGUACCUUGACGGUACCUAACCAGAAAGCCACGGCUAACUACGUGCCAGCCGCCGCAGUAA
rnacentral:rRNA from 1 species